AAGGAUCAUUAGUGAAAGUUUCGGGCCUGCCAUACGGACGCAAACACGUCUCUGGCGCCCAUCACUAUAUCCAUACCAACCCCUGUGCACUGUGAUGACGAAUGUCAUCGAACAAAAAAAAACUCGUAUGGUUGAAUGUACGUGAAAUUGUAGGUAUAGCCUACGAACUAUACACAACUUUCGACAACGGAUCUCUUGGUUCUCCCAUCGAUGAAGAACGCAGCGAAACGCGAUAGGUAAUGUGAAUUGCAGAAUUCCGUGAAUCAUCGAAUCUUUGAACGCACCUUGCGCUCCAUGGUAUUCCGUGGAGCAUGCCUGUUUGAGUGCCGCGAAUUCUCCCUCCCCUUACGGUGGCCGAAAGGCCGAAGUAGGGCGGACGGGGUAGGAUGGGUGUUUGCUGCCUGGGGAUUGUACCAGGCUCGCCCGAAAUGCAUAAGCGCCAGGACCCUCGCUACCGCUCUCUAGGGAAGAGUGGCUAAGCGACCGCUGAGCAUGGCAUGAUACGUCAUUUGCUGUGUGUGGGCGGCCGGUUGGAGAGGUGUCUGCUUUACCAGCCCUAUUUUAAUUCUGGUCUCAAAUCAGGUAGGAUCACCCGCUGAACUUAAGCAUAUCAAUAA
rnacentral:rRNA from 1 species